CGGUUGAUAGAGUUUGAUCAUGGCUCAGGACGAACGCUGGCGGCGUGCCUAAUACAUGCAAGUCGUACGCUUCUUUUUCCACCGGAGCUUGCUCCACCGGAAAAAGAAGAGUGGCGAACGGGUGAGUAACACGUGGGUAACCUGCCCAUCAGAAGGGGAUAACACUUGGAAACAGGUGCUAAUACCGUAUAACAAUCGAAACCGCAUGGUUUUGAUUUGAAAGGCGCUUUCGGGUGUCRCUGAUGGAUGGACCCGCGGUGCAUUAGCUAGUUGGUGAGGUAACGGCUCACCAAGGCCACGAUGCAUAGCCGACCUGAGAGGGUGAUCGGCCACAUUGGGACUGAGACACGGCCCAAACUCCUACGGGAGGCAGCAGUAGGGAAUCUUCGGCAAUGGACGAAAGUCUGACCGAGCAACGCCGCGUGAGUGAAGAAGGUUUUCGGAUCGUAAAACUCUGUUGUUAGAGAAGAACAAGGAUGAGAGUAACUGUUCAUCCCUUGACGGUAUCUAACCAGAAAGCCACGGCUAACUACGUGCCAGCAGCCGCGGUAAUACGUAGGUGGCAAGCGUUGUCCGGAUUUAUUGGGCGUAAAGCGAGCGCAGGCGGUUUCUUAAGUCUGAUGUGAAAGCCCCCGGCUCAACCGGGGAGGGUCAUUGGAAACUGGGAGACUUGAGUGCAGAAGAGGAGAGUGGAAUUCCAUGUGUAGCGGUGAAAUGCGUAGAUAUAUGGAGGAACACCAGKGCGAAGGUGGAU
rnacentral:rRNA from 1 species